AUCCCUUUCUAUGGAAAGCUAAGUUGAAGUUUUCCGGAGUGGUUGAGGAUUUAUUUCAAUUUAUAUCCAUGCGAAAGCUAAGAAUACAAUCAUAGAUGGAUUUUUUUACUGUUCACUUUGGAAGGAAUAUGGAAGGAGCAAGAGUGUCCCAGUACUAGAGGAUUGGUUGUAGUCCAAAAAUCACAAUAGAAGGAAUUUUAAAUUGGUUCCAAUGAUUACAUUAAAAUUUAUAUUUUACUGUCACCAUUGAAAGGAAGAAUGUGCUGUGGGAAAAAGAGCUCGACGGGUCCAAGAAUGUCUGUAUUAAAUGAAAAUAGAAAGUUUGAACACCCAACAGAUAGCAUCUUAUAGUUAUCCACUGGUGACCAUAAUUCUGGAUGCUCUUGAUUAUGCAAAUGUUCAUACGAUAGAUCCUAAUCACUUGCAUAUAAGGUAAUGGACCUUUCUCUAUAAACUAAAACAAUUGGCUAUUAUUUGAUAUUUAUAGCACAAUAUGGUUUUGUAACUCAUGACUAAGAGUCAAACUCUUUUAAAAAUUUUAGUCACUCAUGAUCAGUAUUGACAUAAGUAGUUUAAAUAACCAUGGUCUUGAUUGAUUCUAAUGACUUCUGUCAUGAUUUUGAAAAAUGUAAGAAGCACAGCUUAUGCUCCAAGCAUGGGUAAAUUCUGAUUCUUGCCAAUGAGUUCUGUCUUUGGUUAUAGAGGAUGCUAACAAAAAACAUAUCACAAAGGUUCUACCUGGUGUCUCACUCCUUGAAACAUUGGACAGACGAUGAGCUCUAGCUCGACUGGCACUUCGUCUUCUAAGGGAAGGGUGAGGUUCUCCCUUAGGUAUAUCUGGAAUCUAUGAGAAGAAAUUCCAAAUGUAUGACUGAAUUCUAAGAUUGUCAUUAGAAACUUCUGUUUUUAGGUCAACUGGAGUCAUAUUGUAUAUGUAUUUGCAAGUCUUGAUUGCUGCACUAUACUUGGAAACACCAUCAGUAAUGCAUUAGGUGACCUUUGCAUUGGAUGCUCUAGAUCAAGCAUACAUUCAGAGGAUAGUUCCUAAUUGCUUGCAUAUAAGGCACUUGAGGAAAUUUAUCUAUUCUUUCUGGCUGGAGAAAUAAUUUAUUAUAGAUGGGAGCUGAUGAAAGUUGAUUAAAGUUGAAGGCCCUCAUAUUUUGUCCAAAUAGAGAAAAAGGAAAAUUCUCUUCAAGUUCUGCACCCACAAUGUACUUAUGAUUUCAAGAAGCCGGUCUGUUCCCUUACAAUAUGCUGCUGAUUUUUUGUUUCCCUCAUUUAAAAGAGGGAUAUGCCAAGGGAAAUGGUCCCUAGUAUACCUGGAUAGAGAAAUCAUAAAAAGCAAGUGAUAAGUCCCUCCAAACUUGAAAAUUCAUUAGUGCAGGAAACAUGUUCAGGUGCUCUCCUUUGGAAAGGGACUGGCUGCCUUUUUCUAAAGGACUUCUUUGCCAUUUACUGGUAUUCUUACAUGUCUGGAUGGGUUUAUGGACAUAGCAAUGGUGCAAACAUAAGAAAAUGUCAAAGGGAAGUUGAAAAUUAACUACGGUGAUGUCUUCAUUCGCAGAAAUAAUGUUCUCUACAUUAGUAUAAGUCAUGUAGAUCAUCAGCAAUCAUGCUUUUAAUUAAGAUAGUGGAUUUUGGAAAUGAGGAUUGGAAGAUCUUCUCCAAUGGAAUGAGCUAUCAUAUGUUUGAUUGAAGAGUAAUGCCUUAUUACUAUUGUGAUGAAUGGUAUCAUUGAUUUAACCGUGUGAUCAAUGAUGAUGAUGAUGAUGAUUGUUGAGUUGGUGGCUUGACAAUGUGAACACCCUUUCCAAAUAACGUUACUAUGGUGGACGAAAUUCAGCCACGUAGAAAUCGAGUUUAUAAGACUCGAAAUCUGCACAAUAUAUCAAUCUGAUGCUUUUAAACACUCUCUCAGUUCAAACACCCUCUCACUCAGUCUCUCAGUUCAAACACUCGGUCUCUCAAACACUCUCUCUCAGUCUCUCAAACACUCUCACUCAAACACUCAAAUCAGUCAUCCUCAACCCCUCAGCGUGCAACAAAAAUCACCCUCACCCUCAAACGCUCUCUUUUUCCUCACAAUCGGCUUCAGACUUGAAAAUCCCAUACCUUGAAAAUCCCUUUUCCUCACAAUCGGCUUCACCCUCACCCAUACCUUGAAAAUCCCUUUUGUCCUUACCAACGGAAGUUCAAAUUUUUUCAAGUUUGAAGGUCGUUUACAGUCAGAUUUCCAAUCUGACUGCUGUUAUUGGUCAGGAUAUUGGCAAGCAGUCCAGCUUCUGCAUUAGGGAUUGGAAUACUGACUGGGAUUGAGCCUUUAAUUUUUCAACCAACUUGGAUUUCUUAGCUUCUUGCAUCCAGAAGACUAAUGGUUAACAUCUCUAUAUCUUCAUCUAUUCAUGGUGGUUUUCACUCUCCUACAGGAGACAUUACACAUCGCUUGUGUUCAGUAGUAGAAUUGAAGUUUUACUUCAAUAGUUUCUUUGAAAGAUCUGGGAGUACCAAUUACUUGAAACCUAAUAAGAACUGUAAUUUAACCUCAUGGGUAAAAGGCUGUGAGCUGGGAUGGGCUUGUAGUGUUGGCUCAAAUCAGAAGGUUAACCUAAAUGAUUCAAAGGUCAUCCCCGCAAGAACACUCAACUGUCAGGCUUGUUGUGAGGGUUUCUUCUGCCCUCAUGGUCUUACCUGCAUGAUUCGGAAUCCAAACCAUACUUGUGGAGGAGCAAAUAUUUGGGCUGAUGUUGGUAGUAGCAAUGAGUUAUUCUGUUCAGCUGGAUCAUAUUGUCCAAGUACCACCAGCAGACAGACUUGCACUAGUGGACAUUACUGCAGGAUGGGUUCUACAUCUGAGAAAAGGUCAUCCAAAUGUGAAGGCCAUCCAUUCAUCUAAAGGUGUUGGUGAGCCUCGAUUUUUUUCUGGCGUCGGCUGUCUUUUUUGCCAUCAAAGAUGCCAUUACAGCUUCAAGAGCAGAAGUGGGUUGUAAUGACUGGUUUGCUCUGGUUAAUCCCGUAACACCCGAACGCAUCCGGAUGGCUUGUUUGGAUGAGUUGACUGCACCAUUUAUAUGUCUAUUGCUUCCACCCUAAGCUCAAUGUUUGAUGCAAUAGCCUUAUUUCAAUUUAGCAUAUCUCUCAGUUCUCACUUUGUACAGUUUACUUGUCUUUAACAUAGUGGUUACAAAAUAAAAUGAAAUAAACUGACUUUGCCAGUCAAGGAAGAGCAAGGGGAACGCCCUUUUUGUAAGUUAAAUAAUGGUAUUCUCAUUAUUUACUAUGGUACAAGAUGUACUUACAUCAGCACAAUUAAAGGAUCUCAACUUAAAAGAUGUACUUAAAUUUUGUUUCUAGAAAAAAUAUUGUAAUUUCAUUGCUAAUUGCU